rnacentral:rRNA from 1 species
UGAGUAACACGUAUGCAAUCCACCUGUAACAGGGGGAUAACCCGGAGAAAUCCGGACUAAUACCCCAUAAUAUGGGCGCUCCGCAUGGAGAGUCCAUUAAAGAGAGCAAUCUUGGUUACAGACGAGCAUGCGCUCCAUUAGCCAGUUGGCGGGGUAACGGCCCACCAAGGCGACGAUGGAUAGGGGUUCUGAGAGGAAGGUCCCCCACAUUGGAACUGAGACACGGCCCAA